AUACAUCCGAACGGUCAGACCGGGACGGCAGCUCAGAGAUGGACGACAGUUUGGUUUUGGAGGUGACCUCUGAUACUUCAGAAGAGGCUGUGGUGGGCUUGUUUUUCUCCAGAGCAGCGUGCAUACGGACCACAGAUAGAAAAAACCACCAGUCAUGUGAAAGGCCGAGCCCACCCAGCCAAGGAACAACGGAGUGCCAAGGCCGUACCUGAAAAUAACCAGAGCACAGGGAAAUCAUGGCAAUUACUGACUGCAGUUGAAUCGGUGAAGCAUUUUCUCCAUAAGCUGGACCAGUGCCAUGCCACUUUGAUGAUGGCCGAACCACCCAUACCACCAACUGAGGCUAUCUUCCAGCCCUCCAUAGCCAUAGUGCAGGCCACAAAGAUCCAGCCUAACACGGUCAUUAAAAAUCCCCAGAUUUGGACCCCUCUGAUCUUCAUCUUUAGGCGUCUGCAGGACUCACCACUGAGAAUGAAGUGGAGGCCCGACAGAACGGUCAGACGAGCCUUGGUGGUGUCCGAGCCCCCUAUUUUUGUGCACUUCAUUCCCAGCAAUGCCAAAGCGGCACCGAAGAAACCCAGGCAAACGGC